rnacentral:rRNA from 1 species
ACCGGCGCACGGGUGAGUAACACGUAUCCAACCUGCCGUCUACUCUUGGACAGCCUUCUGAAAGGAAGAUUAAUACAAGAUGGCAUCAUGAGUCCGCAUGUUCACAUGAUUAAAGGUAUUCCGGUAGACGAUGGGGAUGCGUUCCAUUAGAUAGUAGGCGGGGUAACGGCCCACCUAGUCUUCGAUGGAUAGGGGUUCUGAGAGGAAGGUCCCCCACAUUGGAACUGAGACACGGUCCAAAAUCCUACGGGAGGCAGCAUG